rnacentral:rRNA from 1 species
AUAACAUCCGGAAACGGGUGCUAAUACCGCAUAGUUUCUUGAUCGCAUGAUCGGGAAGGAAAGACGGCCUUUGUGCUGUCGCUUAUGGAUGGACCCGCGGCGUAUUAGUUAGUUGGUGAGGUAACGGCUCACCAAGACGAUGAUACGUAGCCGACCUGAGAGGGUGAUCGGCCACAUUGGGACUGAGACACGGCCCAAACUCCUACGGGAGGCAGCAGUAGGGAAUCUUCCGCAAUGGACGAAAGUCUGACGGAGCAACGCCGCGUGAGUGAAGAAAGGUUUUCGGAUCGUAAAACUCUGUUGUCAGAGAAGAACAAGUUGGAGAGUAACUGCUCCAGCCUUGACGGUAUCUGACCAGAAAGCCACGGCUAACUACGUGCCAGCCGCAGC